rnacentral:rRNA from 1 species
UACGUAGGGUGCAAGCGUUGUCCGGAAUUAUUGGGCGUAAAGAGCUCGUAGGCGGUUUGUCGCGUCUGCUGUGAAAACCCGGAGCUCAACUCCGGGCCUGCAGUCGAUACGGGCGGACUCGAGUUCGGCAGGGGAGACUGGAAUUCCUGGUGUAGCGGUGAAAUGCGCAGAUAAUCAGGAGGAACACCGGUGGCGAAGGCGGGAUCUCUGG